rnacentral:rRNA from 1 species
GAUGAACGCUGGCGGCGUGCCUAAUACAUGCAAGUCGAGCGAAGCGGGGACGGGUGAGUAACACGUGGAUAACCUCCUAUAAGCCUGGGAUAACUUCGGGAAACCGGAGCUAAACCGGCUCCUUAUACAUGGAUCCGCGCUGCAUUAGCUAGUUGGUAAGGUAACGGCUUACCAAGGCAACGAUGCAUAGCCGACCUGAGAGGGUGAUCGGCCACACUGGAACUGAGACACGGUCCAGACUCCUACGGGAGGCAGCAGUAGGGAAUCUUCCGCAAUGGGCGAAAGACGGACGGAGCAACGCCGCGUGAGUGAUGAAGGUCUUCGGAUCGUAAAACUCUGUUAUUAGGGAAGCGGUACCUAAUCAGAAAGCAACGGCUAACUACGUGCCAGCAGCCGCGGUAAUUC